AACUUCUUCAUUAGAGAGUCUCGGAUCCUUUAGAACCAAGGAAUGGAACUAACAUUUGACACGUCUAUCAACUGGAAGGUUUCAUGAGUUCGCUCCUUCGCCAAGAUCUCUCACCGUGUGAUUGUAGCUCAGAAAUUAUUUUUCUUUUGGUGAUGAUCGUGCUGGGCUGGAUGCUUUUUGUUGGGCUAGCUUUCUACAUGGGUACAUUUCCAGAGGCGAUGCCUCCAACUCUAAAGUGGAAAGAGAGGUUGCCUGUUUGGGAGAACAAGGCACGACGAAGGAGCCAAGCCUUGGAGGAGGAGCUGCUGCUCUGUGAAAGAGCCCCAUAAGCAGCCGACAUCUUCAUUCUGUUCCUUUCCCAGGAACGAUGUGGAAGGGAUAUAAAUAUCCCCCAGGAGGGACCCCUUUGGAAGUAAACAAAGAUGACCCUGGUGAAGUCAUGCAGCUAUGAAGAUCACCCAACUGCACAGUUCCUGUUGUAGGUUUCACAUAAAGUAAUCGCACAUUA